UUUGGUUAAGUUAGAAAGGGCGCACGGUGGAUGCCUUGACACUAGGAGUCGAUGAAGGACGGGACUAACGCCGAUAUGCUUCGGGGAGCUGUAAGUAAGCUUUGAUCCGAAGAUUUCCGAAUGGGGAAACCCACCAUACGUAAUGGUAUGGUAUCCUUAUCUGAAUACAUAGGGUAAGGAAGACAGACCCAGGGAACUGAAACAUCUAAGUACCUGGAGGAAGAGAAAGCAAAUGCGAUUUCCUGAGUAGCGGCGAGCGAAACGGAACAUAGCCCAAACCAAGAGGCUUGCCUCUUGGGGUUGUAGGACAUUCUAUACGGAGUUACAAAGGAACGAGGUAGACGAAGCGACCUGGAAAGGUCCGUCGUAGAGGGUAACAACCCCGUAGUCGAAACUUCGUUCUCUCUUGAAUGUAUCCUGAGUACGGCGGAACACGUGAAAUUCCGUCGGAAUCUGGGAGGACCAUCUCCCAAGGCUAAAUACUCCCUAGUGAUCGAUAGUGAACCAGUACCGUGAGGGAAAGGUGAAAAGCACCCCGGAAGGGGAGUGAAAGAGAUCCUGAAACCGUGUGCCUACAAAUAGUCAGAGCCCGUUAACGGGUGAUGGCGUGCCUUUUGUAGAAUGAACCGGCGAGUUACGAUCCCGUGCGAGGUUAAGCUGAAGAGGCGGAGCCGCAGCGAAAGCGAGUCUGAAUAGGGCGUUUAGUACGUGGUCGUAGACCCGAAACCAGGUGAUCUACCCAUGUCCAGGGUGAAGUUCAGGUAACACUGAAUGGAGGCCCGAACCCACGCACGUUGAAAAGUGCGGGGAUGAGGUGUGGGUAGCGGAGAAAUUCCAAUCGAACCUGGAGAUAGCUGGUUCUCCCCGAAAUAGCUUUAGGGCUAGCCUUAAGUGUAAGAGUCUUGGAGGUAGAGCACUGAUUGGACUAGGGGUCCUCAUCGGAUUACCGAAUUCAGUCAAACUCCGAAUGCCAAUGACUUAUCCUUAGGAGUCAGACUGCGAGUGAUAAGAUCCGUAGUCAAAAGGGAAACAGCCCAGACCGCCAGCUAAGGUCCCAAAGUGUGUAUUAAGUGGAAAAGGAUGUGGAGUUGCUUAGACAACUAGGAUGUUGGCUUAGAAGCAGCCACCAUUUAAAGAGUGCGUAAUAGCUCACUAGUCGAGUGACUCUGCGCCGAAAAUGUACCGGGGCUAAAUACACCACCGAAGCUGCGGAUUGAUACCGAAUGGUAUCAGUGGUAGGGGAGCGUUCUAAGGACAGUGAAGUCAGACCGGAAGGACUGGUGGAGUGCUUAGAAGUGAGAAUGCCGGUAUGAGUAGCGAAAGACGGGUGAGAAUCCCGUCCACCGAAUGCCUAAGGUUUCCUGAGGAAGGCUCGUCCGCUCAGGGUUAGUCAGGACCUAAGCCGAGGCCGACAGGCGUAGGCGAUGGACAACAGGUUGAUAUUCCUGUACCACCUCUUUAUCGUUUGAGCAAUGGAGGGACGCAGAAGGAUAGAAGAAGCGUGCGAUUGGUUGUGCACGUCCAAGCAGUUAGGCUGAUAAGUAGGCAAAUCCGCUUAUCGUAAAGGCUGAGCUGUGAUGGGGAAGCUCCUUAUGGAGCGAAGUCUUUGAUUCCCCGCUGCCAAGAAAAGCUUCUAGCGAGAUAAAAGGUGCCUGUACCGCAAACCGACACAGGUAGGCGAGGAGAGAAUCCUAAGGUGUGCGAGAGAACUCUGGUUAAGGAACUCGGCAAAAUGACCCCGUAACUUCGGGAGAAGGGGUGCUUUCUUAACGGAAAGCCGCAGUGAAUAGGCCCAAGCGACUGUUUAGCAAAAACACAGCUCUCUGCGAAGCCGUAAGGCGAAGUAUAGGGGGUGACACCUGCCCGGUGCUGGAAGGUUAAGGAGAGGGGUUAGCGUAAGCGAAGCUCUGAACUGAAGCCCCAGUAAACGGCGGCCGUAACUAUAACGGUCCUAAGGUAGCGAAAUUCCUUGUCGGGUAAGUUCCGACCCGCACGAAAGGUGUAACGAUUUGGGCACUGUCUCAACCAGAGACUCGGUGAAAUUAUAGUACCUGUGAAGAUGCAGGUUACCCGCGACAGGACGGAAAGACCCCGUGGAGCUUUACUGUAGCCUGAUAUUGAAUUUUGGUACAGUUUGUACAGGAUAGGCGGGAGCCUUUGAAACCGGAGCGCUAGCUUCGGUGGAGGCGCUGGUGGGAUACCGCCCUGACUGUAUUGAAAUUCUAACCUACGGGUCUUAUCGACCCGGGAGACAGUGUCAGGUGGGCAGUUUGACUGGGGCGGUCGCCUCCUAAAGUGUAACGGAGGCGCCCAAAGGUUCCCUCAGAAUGGUUGGAAAUCAUUCGUAGAGUGCAAAGGCAUAAGGGAGCUUGACUGCGAGACCUACAAGUCGAGCAGGGACGAAAGUCGGGCUUAGUGAUCCGGUGGUUCCGCAUGGAAGGGCCAUCGCUCAACGGAUAAAAGCUACCCCGGGGAUAACAGGCUUAUCUCCCCCAAGAGUCCACAUCGACGGGGAGGUUUGGCACCUCGAUGUCGGCUCAUCGCAUCCUGGGGCUGUAGUCGGUCCCAAGGGUUGGGCUGUUCGCCCAUUAAAGCGGUACGCGAGCUGGGUUCAGAACGUCGUGAGACAGUUCGGUCCCUAUCCGUCGUGGGCGUAGGAAAUUUGAGAGGAGCUGUCCUUAGUACGAGAGGACCGGGAUGGACGCACCGCUGGUGUACCAGUUGUUCUGCCAAGGGCAUAGCUGGGUAGCUAUGUGCGGAAGGGAUAAGUGCUGAAAGCAUCUAAGCAUGAAGCCCCCCUCAAGAUGAGAUUUCCCAUAGCGUAAGCUAGUAAGAUCCCUGAAAGAUGAUCAGGUUGAUAGGUUCGAGGUGGAAGCGUGGUGACAUGUGGAGCUGACGAAUACUAAUAGAUCGAGGACUUAACCAUAUAA
rnacentral:rRNA from 1 species